UACGUAGGGGGCGAGCGUUGUCCGGAUUUAUUGGGCGUAAAGAGCGUGUAGGCGGCCUGGCAGGUCUGCUGUGAAAACUCGAGCUCAACCUCGAGACGCCGAUGGAAACCGCAUGGCUAGAGUCCGGAAGAGGAGAGUGGAAUUCCUGGUGUAGCGGUGAAAUGCGCAGAUAUCAGGAAGAACACCCGUGGCUAAGGCGGCUCUCUGGGACGGUACUGACGCUGAGACGCGAAAGCGUGGGGAGCGAACAGG
rnacentral:rRNA from 1 species